UUUCCGUAGGUGAACCUGCGGAAGGAUCAUUAACACAAACCGUGGUUGUGCACGUGCACGUCGCCUGCGCAAGCGGGACCAACGACUGUUGCUGGCGCUCCACAUUUGGAUCCAUAUCCAAAUACCCCUGUGAACUGUUAAAGUCUUUACAUUUGUGUUCUCCAAACACCAUGUGAAUGCACUUUGACUGAAACUUUGACGAAGCACGCGCGCGUCAGUGUGUGUGUCUUCGCAAAUCCUAACCAAAAACAACUUUUAACAACGGAUAUCUUGGUUCUC
rnacentral:misc_RNA from 1 species